rnacentral:snRNA from 1 species
AUGUUUGCGCUUGGGGCAAUGACGCAGCUAAUGAGGUACUAACCGAGGCGCGUCUAUUGCAAG